rnacentral:tRNA from 1 species
GGAGUUGGCCGAGUGGUAAGGCGUCACCCUGAAAGCGUGAAGUCGCCGUAACAGGCGCGGGGGUUCGAUCCCCUCACUCUCCG